UCUCCAGGUGAACUCCCUGUCCAGGUUGGAUGUCAGCAAGAAAAGGCAGAGCAGCGCUGAGCAUAUGACACUUUUCCUUUCAUUUCUAGACGUCUGUGUCGACACAUACUUCUGCAGAGCCGGCUCCGUGGGGGCGCUGACCCAGCGGGCCCAGGGGGAGGGCUCUGCAGCUGAGAAAUGGAAACCCACCAGGAAAAUCCACGAAGAGAGGAAGGGGAACCGGAGAAGCCCAGGAGGAGGAGGAGAUGCCUCCCCGGGGAACGCCCAGAUGACCAAGAGGUUCCCAGGCCUCUUAAUCCAACCCAAAAGGAAGCCACUUGUGGGCAGAUUUAUCUCCCGAGGUUUGUUUCCGGCCCUGAGUUUACCUGAGUUCCCCGGUGCACACGCAGGCGUGGCCGUCUGUCCUGACGGCGCUGCUGCCUCCUGGGUCUGAUGGAGUCCCGUCUACACCCGGAGCCCCCCUGCAGGACCCUCGUCACCGGGCCAGCCUCCCUGCUCCCGCUGGGGGAACCGGGGGGUGGCGAUGAAAGCUUUCCGCCUUUUUUUCCUGCCAAUGACCAAAUUCGAAUGUACAAUUUAAAAGCUACAUUGGCACUUUCCACCCCACUGCCUGCGAUGAUUGUGCCGAGAUUAUUAAACCCGUCAUAAAUAA